rnacentral:rRNA from 1 species
AACGAACGCUGGCGGCGUGGAUAAGACAUGCAAGUCGAGCGCUAAGUUUAAGGGUAGCAAUAUUCUUAAGUUGGAGCGGCGCAAGGGUGCGUAACACGUGGGUAAUUUGCCGUGAAGUUGGGGAUAACUUGCUGAAAGGCGAGCUAAUACCGAAUGUGACGUUUGGAAGGCAUCUUCCGAAUUUCAAAGUUGGGGACCGUAAGGCCUGACGCUUCACGAUAAGCCCGCGGCCUAUCAGCUAGUUGGUGAGGUAAUGGCUCACCAAGGCUAAGACGGGUAGCUGGUCUGAGAGGACGACCAGCCACACUGGAACUGAGACACGGUCCAGACACCUACGGGUGGCAGCAGUCGAGAAUUUUUCUCAAAUGGGCGAAAAGCCUGAAGGAGCGACGCCGCGUGGGGGAUGAAUGGCUUCGGCCCGU